CCCAGGGGCACAUCAAGUGUUCGGUCCUUAUUUUGUCUGCUGAUUCCUAGUGCUGGCGUUCGAAAGAGAUUAGUGAUUGGUGGCUCAGGUUAGGUACUCUCCUAUUUGUUGCUAGACAUUGCUAAUCUUCCGGCCUCUCUAAUCACCCCACGGACGGAGCUCAUGUAUAGAGGUUGGAUGCAACUGGCACCAAUGAUUCUCAUGUAACGAAGAAGCAGCCCCUGUAAAAUUUGUUCAUGAAUGACCCCAAAAAUCCAUACGUCCAGGUGAUGGAAUGCACAAAUCAAUUCUAAACUCACCUACAAUCAAAGCUUUGUUGCUUGUGUCACUGUGUGUGUUAUGGAAAAAUAGCCCAUUAUAUACACGGUUUCAAUCCAUCCAAUCACUUCAUUUUCUUCUUUCUCGGCCUAUCGCCCGGCCUCCAACCUAGACAUUUCUGAAGUAUUACUGUGCUACCUAAAAUGCAACAUGCAUGAUAUUAGUGUUUUAUCAUUGACUUGUACUUUUCCCCAUGUUAUUAAUGUAUGUAGGGUUGCAAGUCGUUCAUUCAGGAAGACCUCCUCAACAAUUACACUGAGCAGAUGGUCAACUACUGCAGAAUGGCUAUGGACAGUUGUCACGAAGAUGCAUUGGCUACUGCCUACUGCGGCCUUGUUUUGAAGGAGAAGGAUCAACAAAUAUCAGAAUUAGAGACCAAACUAUACUCUCUAGCGUCAGAGCUGCAUACUUCAGGGGAGAAGGCCACGUCGAAUAAGAUAAUGCUCGCCAAGAAAUUACAAGAAGGGAGAUACAGAUGUAUUAUAUACUUAAUACUUUUUUGGUUCGUCAUGAUCAUAUAUGUUGCUAGAAUUUUAAUCCCCACUUUGUAAGACUAGAUGUCAGCUAGAGAAUUUUUUUGUGGGCCUGAGAUCAUUCAUUGUUGAACUAAAUGAACGUAUUGGAUCUUGGCGGUUUUCUUGCUCUUACUGAUUCAUAAUGCGCCGAUGGUCCAAGAGAAAGCGUCUGAACAUUCAGAUCGAUUUUGAAACAUGAUUGAUCAAUUCCAUGUAAUGUAUGAUUGGCACGGGCAUGCAUGGCCACUGUGAUAAGGAUUAGCACCAGAGAAACUGCAAGGAUGUUCAUUCACCUGUCGACUGUUACAAACAUAAAGAGAAGAUGGGCAUGUAAUCAUGCACUAGAGAAGAGGCCAGUACGCUAACAACAAGAGACAACACUGAUGCAUCUUCUCAAUUGUAAUCUCAUAAAAGUGAUACUGUAGUGUGCGUCUACAUCUCAUUCAAAGCAGAAAUAUAACUCUGAUGAUAAAUGCCAUCGUAAAAAUCUGAAUGUAUAAUACUUGUGUUCCCCUUGUCAUCUAAGUCUGUCUAUUUGACUUUCCAGGUGUUUUCCUGUACAAAAUUAAAUAAAUUAACAUGGUAUCGAAACAGGGUUCAACAUGUACAAUAUUUCUGAAAAUACAUAAACUUCAAAGGUCUUUUCUUCUUAGCACACACUUCGUCAUUGUUCUAUUUUCUUUUUCUCCCCCGAGUCAUCAUACUAACUUUAGUCACAAACCCUUUGUUCUUCACAUACCCUAAGUAGAACUUGUACGCUUCGUUCUCGCUUUUAAAUGUCUGCCUGACCAUCGAGUUAUACUCCAUAAAUUCAUCUAUCAAGAUGCCUUCACCACCCAUGUCGUUAUCCUGUCAUAAGAAACAACAAUGCCCGUUACAUAUGUACAUGAAAGAAAAUACGCUAGAACUAAACCAUAUUAAUUAUAAAUUGUCAAAGAUUAUCAUCUGUAACUGAAUCAAGAAUCUCUGACAUCCUUAUUACAGAGUAAUUUAACCCAUUGUUUUCAUGUUUAUUGUUCAAGAUUGCUUCUGUUCACAUAGCAUGGGCAUACAGGCCGUACAUACACUUUCAUUCCUGUGUGAUAUGAAUGUAAAUCGCAUCACAGCUUCCAGGUGUGUGUUGGCUCGAAUGCUUCGUAAAAUAUACAUAUGCAUACUUAUCCUGAACUGCAUAGACACCAAAGCAACUUUAUCAUCUCUAUCCAAAAAUUCAGGUUCUGAGAAAUCUUGGUUUUCAAAAACCUUAUUAAGUUCUUCUAAGAAGUAACACGUUUCCCACAAUAUCAAACUCAUAAUCUGAGGUGAUGGCUAUGGCGUUUGGGGAGGAUCAGAGGCAACAUACCAAUGCGAGGGAUCUCCACCACGACCCGCGAAGGAACCGAUCUCCGGCGCCGUCCGAACAUCGUGCGACUGAGAGAGGGCCGCCGGGCGGCGCGGGGUGGCUGCGCCGUUGAAGAUCUUGGGGCCCCGUCCAAGAUACUGCGGCGGCGACGGCAGGGCGGGAGAAGGAGCGGCCGCCCCUGUGCGACUCAGGCGAUGGCCGCCGGGCAGCUAGGCGGCGGCAGAAAAUGAAGAACUCUACGAGAAUGAGAUGGGAAACCUACGAACUAAGAUAGGGACAAUUCUUUUUUCCAGGUGUGAUUACUUAUGUUAUUAGUCAUUGCAAUUACUCAUAUUAUUAAUCAAUAAAAUUAUCAUUAAAAAGGACUAAUCUACCCUAACAGCCAAUUACCAAAAUGUCCUGAGGAGAAAAAAUCAGGGAUCAAUAAUGACUAUUGGAUCAAUUAUAUACUACCCACUAUUUACAGGAGUAUGAUGCACCGUAAAAAGUCUCUUAAGCUAUCCAAAUGGUAGGCCACCGCAUUAUAAUACUCCACCAAGAAGAAUGCGAUAUCUUUGCAGGGAUGAAAUCCAAUUAGAAAGUAUCCACGACAAUCUCCACACUCAUUGUUUGUGUUUGUGUCAAGAAUAUUAUCAUCAUCCCAGCUCCAAUCAAAAAGCUGCCCCGCUAGCGUUUUGUUAUUUCCAUAUUUGUCAAGAUCCUGAUCGUUAUCUAAGAUCCAAGGCCUGCAAAUUCCUUUCGGUUUAAUUGCAGAUAUAUUUGCCAGUGGCGCAAGGUCAACACAAUUCUUCAACGCCAGCCUGCCUGACCGUUUGAUUCACUCAGGGUCCAUAUCCGAAUUCGAUCACGGAUCUCUGCAAAGUACACAUCCUCCUCCGAUCUCCCAAGAUAAUGCUUUCCAACUUUGCCUUCCUGGGGAUAUAUUGGUGUUCUUAUUACUUCAUAUUUUCCACUAGGCAAUGAAAACCUACAAAAAUGUCAACAACUAUUUAAAUAUAAAUUAAGCAAUAUGAAUGCUAGAGUUGGCAAGAGAGUUUAGUUUCUUGUGCUUUUAUCAUGAUGUUUACCUGGUGACAAAUGUACCAUGAUAGAGCAGUACGUGUAAUGCUCCAUGACAAUACACACCGUAGCGCCAUCUGCAUGUUGACAUCAUAAACAUGCACAUGAACGACAAGCUACCCCGCAAAUUUACCACUCUCAUCAUAGUACCACCUUCCCUAGUAAACGACAUCUUCUGCCAUUGUCCUGUGCUCGACGAGAAAACAUCUAGCGUCAACUCGGGCGGCGGCCAUUCCGUCGAGUGCAGUUCCUCCUCCAUGCUCGUGCUCUGUGAAUACCUUGAGCUUAUCGUGAAGUAUUCCUCAAUCAGCUGUUCCGGUGAGACUUCUCUCGACGCGCAGUCGCUCACGUCGAACAACCCUAAAUCCUUGGGUUGUAUCAGGAACACCUUGUAGUGCGGUGACACGGUAGGAUCGAACGCGAGAUACGGGGCGCAAAACUCUUGGUCGCACGUGGCCGGGAGGCGCGCCCACCGUCGGGUGGCGGGGUUUACCACGCAGAAGGCCCUCAUGCUGCCACGGUAGAAGUUGUAGCCGCAGGAGGCCGUUGCAGUGGUCCACGAUCAUGUUAUGGUCCUCGGUGUAGCCGGGCAGGAAGUGGAGGUUGCCAUAGUCGACGCGGCGGUGCCGCGUGGAGGGGCGCCCGAGGAAGUGCGGGCGGUGGUAGUCGCAGUAGUUGGCGAAGAUGCCCUCCACCGAGUCGGGCAGGUGGUGCCUCCGGGGCAGCAGCCGCCACCCGUCCACGACAGCUAGCCACGCCCUGCGCACGCGGCGGCACGCCGCCAGGUCCCGCCGCGCGAGGCGGCCGAGGAUGGCCACGAGUACGUCGUCCGGCAGCGCCUCCGUGUGGUCCAUCAAUGAAGAUCACGGCAGCUCGGGGUGUUCUGAGUUCCGACGAAGGUUAAACCUGUCCCCUGCCGUGCUUUAUAUGCAAGAUUUUACAGCCAUAUAUGGUAGGAUUUGUAUGUACUGGUGUCAUGUAAAAAGGGAGUGGAAAACUUGGCAGGUACGGAACCAAGUUUUCGUAUGGAAAACUUGACUUGUGGCUUACGAUCCAUGUGCUAUGGACGCAAGUUCCACGGCAAUCUAUUCCUUUUUUGAAUUCAACAUAUAUUUCUGAUGAUACACACAUGAUAUACUAGUGUGGCUCAGACAUUUCAUCAAACACCUCAUGUGCAUAGGAGGUGAGCUAGAGCACCCAAAUGCCCUCCCCUCGCCGGCCAGAAAAAACAGAGCACUGUGGAGUGCUCUGCCGUGGCGAUGGGUAUAUAUAGGCAACUCAUUUGUCCAGGUUCGUGGCCGAAACCGGUACAAAUAGUUGUGGGUCAGGAGCGAGGCACAUUGGUCCCGGUUCGUGCCUAGAACCGGAACAAAUGGGUCCCCACAAACCGGGACCAAUGCCCACGAGGCCCCGGCCGGCCCCCUGGGCUAACGAACCGGGACGAAUGACCCCAUGGGUCCCGGUUCGUGACUGAACCAGGACUAAUGGGCUUGCCCUGCCCGAACCAAAGCCCUGUUUUCUACUAGUGAUGGUAAAAUUUGUAAAACUGAGCUCAAGAAUUCCAAUGAUCCAGGGAUUGGCCCUCGGCGAAACCGGCUAACAAAGGUACAAAUUACAGAAUAAUCAAAAGGGAGCGGGAACAAUGUGUUGGUACCCUACUAGAUUAAAGUUACACAGGGAAUGCCCUAUAAGUACAUGAUACAACUUCAGAAAUCCACACCUUAUGGAACCACCAUUUAUAUCCACCUGUUGAUGUGUAUGUGCAUCGAUCACGGUUGCUGAUCGACCGCUCAUCAGCACUUCACUGGAUAAAUAAUAAAUGAGCCUCUCAAAUCAUACACUGCCUGUACACGCAAUAUUCCUCGGAGUUUCUAUAUUUACAUUGUGUUGAUAUGGCGAGCUGAGAUAUUCUCGAGAACCAAAUUUCCAGUGGUCUUCGUAUGUCACGUUUCAAAGAGUUGGCUUCUCAUGGUACUGCAGAUCUCGUCUGCCACAGCAUCGUUCUCAAGUAGGAACUUCUCGGCUUCCUCCUUGCCAGGCAGGAAGUCGCCGUUGAUCCAAUACCCAGAACCUUCCUUCACGAUAACUCCAUGCGUAGAAGCCAUCUCCAGAAUCUCCGAUUCAUGGCAGAUUCCCUUACCAAACCCAAUGUUGAGCCCAGCUUCCUUCAGGGCUGCUGGUACUAAUUUGUUCUUGAUAAUCUGCACUGCUAUACUAAUGCCAGUGGCCUGAAAAUGCAGAAUUUUCUACUAUUAGAGCAAUGGCAUGUACCCGAUGCUCUGUUAUGAUCAAGUUAUGCAUACUUGGCAUGUUUAGAAGAAAAAUGUGCAUUUUGCUAUAGUGCUAUCGACCAAUGGUAAGAGAACACCAAUUAAGAAUCAUGAAAUCUGUUUAUAAUACCUCUUCUUUGCAAUAGUGCAAUUUCCUUCUCGAAGUCCUCAUUCUGAUUGCUGAAUAGAAACCUAACGCGUUGCCACCACAGGUUACCUCCUUGUAGAGCCCAGAAGAUGGAUCUGAGCUACGCUUUGUUCUAACCUAUAAAAGGAAUCAAUCACUAGUCAAAGAAGCAUGGGAGCAGCGUCAUAAUCCCCGUGUUAACAUAUCUUGGGAGACUUUCAUGUUUUCACUAGAAGAUAAGAAGAAUGGCAAAAAAAUCACAUUAAAACUGCUGCAGAAUCAGUAUGAAAUGUCAGAUCAGCAUCAGCGGCAAGGGAAAACAUUAUCACACUGAUAUAGAGGCAUACUGACAUAUUUGAGCCUUCCAGUACUACAAUAGCAUAUCUUUCCAAAUGUGACAAGCCAGUACUGAGUUUUUUAUUUUUCAGAUCAAACCCAUUUCAUUUUCAAGAUUAGGAUUACAAGAACAUAACAUAGUGUAUUUAUCUAUCUUUGUGGGUACAUGGAGAAAUACUCAUUUAUAACUGCAGGAGAUUGGUUAUAAUAGGUUUCUUGUUGGAACAACAGGAAACAGUACAAACUAAAACAAUUGCUCAGUCAACAAUAUCAGACAAAUCGUGUGGGAACCAGGAACAAGCGUCUCAAGGAGCUGAGGUGCUGUUCGAUGUAAUAACCCAACAACACCAAGAAACACAAGUAAAUUCGUACCUGAUUCACAAAAAUAAUAAGUGUUUCAGAGCGACUUAAUGUGUAUUGAAUUUUUCGAAGUGCCCGGGUCAUUAAACGGGAUUGUGCGUCUUUAAAUUUCAUGUAUAUUUCACCUUCCAGUUCACAUUUGGGAAUCAGUGCUGCCACCUGUCAUUAAUCCAUUAAAAGCAAGGUAAAGAAAUAUAUAACAUAGGUUAAAUACGAAGUACAUAAAGUUGGCAACAUAAACAAAAGUUGAUGAAUCAUGCAUAAAUGCAAGAUAAAUAACAUAUCAUGCCAAAUUAUAGUGCUAAUCUUAAAUCAUGGAGUUAACAGUCCAACUGUCAGACAAACUACCAACACAUGCUCUUCUUUGGUACUGCUAGGGAAAUGCACCAUCUUCAAAAUUCAGUUCAUAUCAUCAAUGCUAAUGUAAGUAAGUUUCUACCUAUACGCUAUAACAACGUAGAUAAAAUAAGGUAAAGAAAACAGAAAAUAUCUGAAAAUGGCAUAGUGAAGUAACAUACACUAUCCACAACAACAACAUCAAUGGAUCCACCAACAAGAGUGUUCACUAUGCUUAAUGAAUUUUCAGCAGAAUCAGGUUGAGCUAUUAGGAGUUUGUCAAUGUCCACGCCAAUUUCUUCUGCAAAUGAAGUGUUGAAAGCAUUUUCUGCAUCAAUAUAAGCACAGUAGCCUGCAAGUAUUCCCAAUCACAAAUAUUGAUCAGAUACUCUGCUUCACGAUACAAUGUAAAACGUAUCAACUACCAAGCACAAUGAACCAAACAAAGAGUAAAUAUAAAUCGCGCAAUAGCUCUGUGAAAAUACUUCAGGAGAAGGAUUUCAACCAGUUGGAUGAAACUUGCUCUUGAGACUUGACGUAGGGAAAUCUUUUGUAGCCAGCAUUGUAACAACGUUAAAAGACUCCACAAAUAAGAACAGUGUUUCCAUUAAAACAUAUUAGCAAUUUUUAGAUAUGUUUCUAAGAUACAAUUCCCAAAAAUUCUUUACUAAUGCAUGUUAGAGAACAUUAAAAAAUAAAAACCGACAAAUGUGGAAGCCCUUCUUAAAGUUGAAGAUCCAAUUUCUUGACGCUGAAAGGUUUUGAAUAAUGCUACGUACAGCUGCUCAAGAAUAUACAAAAACAUUUAUAAUGACUUCAGGAGUACACAAGAUUAUAACCAUUCACAGAUUUCAUGUUGUCAAGGAUUACUGCAGCCAAGUAAAUAUGAUGAAGGAUAAAAAAGGAGGGUAGACAAUAUGAUAAUUAAAUAAAAAAAAUUGCAGGCACCGUAACAGAAAUAUCAACCUCCAUUCUUUUGGGCUUCCUUGAUAACAUGAAGUGCAAGUGUUGUCUUCCCAGAUGACUCUUUCCCAAAUAUUUCAACCAUUCUACCCUGCCAAACAACUUUAAUCAGUGAUUUCUUAAACAGGGCAAGUAAAAUAAAAUUCGAAAUAUACUGGAAAAAAAAAUCCAAGGAGACAAACAUGAAGCUGUGCCUGUAUAUACUUUUCUAGAAAUGCUGAAGAUAAACUGUGAUUCUUGGGUUCCCAGUCAAAAGAAAGAUAGCAAUCAUCAUCAACACGCAGCACAUGAUGUUUAGCACGAGUGAAUGAAAGGGAAUUUGCCACUCAAUUAACCAGUUGAACGCAUGAUACAGUUUAAACCAAUGCGGAGGUGUAGGUGUGCAUCAAAAUUCCCACAAAAUAUACCAAAUAACAUUUGGACUUGUUACUGCAGACAGAAAUACGGAAUGCUGUAUAGCAUAAAGCAACAGCACAGAGAAAGGUUAUUUGAAUUUUCCUGGGCAACAUCAGUGAGCAAUGUGCAGUACCAAGUGAGGCAUUUAUAGGUAAUUAAAUGACAACAGCACAUACGUAGAUAUGUGAAUAUUUAGUUUUGAACAACCAUGGAAAAGAAUUAUCACCUUUGGUAAACCUCCAAUGCCAAGAGCAAGGUCAAGCUUAAGAGAACCAGUCGAAAUGACAGAUGCACGCCUUGUCCGGGAGAAGCGCUCCAAGCAUAGAUUAGAAUCUCUAUCGAAAUCACUUGCAAGCUGAGAGACAGCACCGUUCAGUGUCGACACUUUCUCGAGAGAUUUCGCGUCAUCCAGUGGGGGGUCGCUUUCAUAGUCUAACUGCAUAUCAGCUGAAAUUUUGCACAGAUUCCUGAGUAGAUGCAUAACUCAUAAGGAAGGCAGUUGAUAACUUAAUAUAGCUAUAGAACACAAAAGAGUACUACGUAUAUAGCGCUGUAACUUUGGAGAGCACAUGGUGUCGACUAGAAUACUACUCCCUCCGUCCCAUAAUAUAAGAACGUUUUUGACACUGUUCUUAUAUUAUUGGACGGAGGGAGUACAUAAUUUAACUAUGUGUUUUGUGCAGACACAAUAAAGUGGUACUUGGGGAAAGACAGUGCCUAAUAGACAUUGAAUGGCCACAGCAACUUGAUUUUCGCUCAUUUUUCGUGUGCAAAGCUGGUUUUUGACAACACUGGGUAUAUAGUACACACGGUAUAAAACUUCGAAGGUCAUAUAUAUAUAUAUAGCACACAGCAGAUAAAUCUGGAGCCUUUCUUAACACAAAUAGGAGUACCAAACAACAAAUAAAUCUGGGCAGACAUCAGCCGCACCUGUGGUUGACAAGAAACAGCCUUGCAACUGGAACCGACAAUAUGUAUCGCUCCUCCCACCCUAGCAGAUCACGGCGAGGAAAAGGCGGCCAGAGUUAACUUGAGAGUUAAAAUGAAGCAUUGCAGGCAGAGUGGCGGUCGGGAUGAGGAGGCAGCACCUGAAGGGGUAGGCGGCGGAAGUGAGAGGGUGCGGUCGGCGUGGAGUAACGGCGGCCCGCGCCGGAGAUGAGGGCGGCGGCUCGUCGGAGCAGCGCGGGCGGCGAGGAGAGGACGCCCAUGCUGGCGGCGCGGCAGGAGGAAGAGGGAGCGAGGAAGGAAAGCAGGAGGCCAGGGAGGAACAAACUGGCAAAUCUUACAGACCCAAACUAGAAACGUUGGGCUGGGCUGGGCUGGCCCGGAUACCGCAGGCCCAUUUCAGGGAGCUACGAGUGAAAAAAAAAA
rnacentral:lncRNA from 1 species